rnacentral:lncRNA from 1 species
GUAGCAACUGAGACUAGCAGAAAGGAGGAAGAAAACUGCCUUAUCUCCACGGUGAAGUCCUCAUCGUUUGUAUCGUCCUCCUCCUCCGUCUCCAUGUGAUGAUACUUCUCUGACCGAGCUGCGGAGGAAGGGUUGGGAACAGUCUGGGUUACUCAGAGAGCUUCUGUAUUUAACAGUGACAACUACCCUCUGAGGACCUGGAGCAGAACAACAGGGAGCUUUCUAGAAUUUGUAGUUGGGGAAUAAAUUCCGCCUUCUGUCUCAGCAAACUGUUCCAGUCUAAGGAGCGGAAGAAACGAUGCUGCUUCACUUCAUAGGCUCCACCUGGACGGGGAGAGGAGCGAGGCUGAGAGGCUGAACCACCCUCUGUACAGGAAGCACCACGCUUACAAACAGUUCACGAUAUUUGUUAGCAGAGAAAUGAAGAAGUGGUGGAGUCCACACUACCUCCCCCCCCCCCGCCCCCACCUUCUACAACCAAAACUUGAAAAAAAAAAUUUCUAGACUUUAUCAGCAGGAAAUCAGAUUUUGCUAACAGCGGUUGCUAUAGCACAGAUUUUUCUCAGUUAAUUUUUCUACGACUUCUUCCAUUUUUCAAAGGUUAAUGACAGGGCCACUUAAAAUCACAUUAUACUGAACCUGGGGACAUGGACGCACGUUGGCCCAAAAACAGACUUGCUCAUUACAAACCCUGAAGAUCCUAACAAGGUGCAAAAUGUGCUUACAGCAAGAUUUCUUCUGGAGGGAAGGUUAAUAAUGAUGGAUUUUU